CACCGCGGUAGUUUCUUCUCGUCUGGAAUAUGUAUAAUAAUAUUUAUAAGCAGCGAGCAUACCAGAACCGCCUGUAAUAACUUAUGUGCUUGUAAAACUGCAGCAGCGAGAGCGGGGUGAAUAGAACGAAAAGGAAAAGAGAAUAGAAGAAGAUCGAACGCAGUUGUGAAAUCACGAGAUGAAAAAAAGGAAAAAUAACGCUCCGCACUAAACGUUAAAACAAACGCUCUUACACCGAUCGUAACUCUGAGGAUGGGCUCAUCUCUGAACCCAGAGGAUAUUAAAGAGGGCGAUGACGUCUAUUUCGAAUGCAACGUCAGAGCUAAUCCAAGAAGUUACAGACUGGCUUGGUUCCAUGAGACAGGGUGAGAAACAAUCCAGUGGGUACAUCGACAGAUUUCUGACCACUUGACCUCUACUCUCUGACUUCUGAGCAAACUCUCUAGGGAAUCGACGUACAGGUAUACCUAUACAAGACCGAAGAGAGAAAGAAGAGAGCCCACGAUAGUCUCGGAUAUCCAAAGCAACACAGCUGAAUUACCCUCAGGCUCUGCCCUGCCAGAUUCUUAAGCUCGCUACUGCGUCAUAUUACAUACCUUGUUUCAUUUCUCUGCCGUUGAUGACAAUUUUUUUUU
rnacentral:misc_RNA from 1 species